AUUGAACGCUGGCGGCAUGCCUUACACAUGCAAGUCGAACGGCAGCACGGGUGCUUGCACCUGGUGGCGAGUGGCGAACGGGUGUGUAAUACAUCGGAACAUGUCCUGUAGUGGGGGAUAGCCCGGCGAAAGCCGGAUUAAUACCGCAUACGAUCUACGGAUGAAAGCGGGGGACCCUCGGGCCUCGCGCUAUAGGGUUG
rnacentral:rRNA from 1 species